AGCAGCCGCGGUAAUUCCAGCUCCAAUAGCGUAUAUUAAAGUUGUUGCAGUUAAAAAGCUCGUAGUUGAAUUUCGGGAUUGGCGCAUCGGUCGUGCCUUACGGGGUAUGAACUGGUGCAGUCAAUUUCUCACCUUCUGGAGAACCGCGAUGUCCUUAAUUGGGUGCUGCGGGGAACCAGGACCUUUACUUUGAAAAAAUUAGAGUGUUUAAAGCAGGCAUUUUUGCUUGAAUACAUUAGCAUGGAAUAAUAAAAUAGGACGGCAUGGUUCUAUUUUGUUGGUUUCUAGGACCACCGUAAUGAUUAAUAGGGAUAGUUGGGGGCAUUAGUAUUCAAUUGUCAGAGGUGAAAUUCUUGGAUUUAUUGAAGACUAACUACUGCGAAAGCAUUUGCCAAGGAUGUUUUCAUUAAUCAAGAACGAAAGUUAGGGGAUCGAAGACGAUCAGAUACCGUCGUAGUCUUAACCAUAAACUAUGCCGACUAGGAAUCAGACGAUGUUAAUUUUUAAUUGACUCGUUUGG
rnacentral:rRNA from 1 species